rnacentral:rRNA from 1 species
UCAAGAAACUUCCACAAUGGGCGAAAGCCUGAUGGAGCGACGUCGCGUGAUGGACGAAGUGCUUCGGCACGUAAACAUCUUUUAUGUGGGAUGAAAUUAUUGACAGUACCACAUGAAUAAGGGGCUCCUAACUCUGUGCCAGCAGGAGCGGUAAUACAGAGGCCCCAAGCGUUAUCCGGAAUCACUGGGCGUAAAGGGUGUCGAGGCGGUUGUAUUAGUCGUUCGUAAAAUCUACGAGCUUAACUUGUAGGCGGCGAACGAAACGGUACGACUUGAGGUUUGGAGAGGUGCGUGGAACUCACGGUGUAGGGGUGAAAUCCGUUGAUAUCGUGGGGAACACCAAAGGCGAAGGCAGCGCACUGGCCAAAAUCUGACGCUCACACACGAAAGCUAGGGUAGCGAAGAGGAUUAGAUACCCUAGUAGUCCCUGAG